UACGGGGGGGAGCAAGCGUUGUUCGGAUUUACUGGGCGUAAAGGGCGCGUAGGCGGCCACUGCAAGUCGGUUGUGAAAUCUCCGGGCUUAACCCGGAAAGGUCAGCCGAUACUGCAGGGCUAGAGUGCAGAAGGGGCAACUGGAAUUCUCGGUGUAGCGGUGAAAUGCGUAGAUAUCGAGAGGAACACCUGAGGUGAAGACGGGGUUGCUGGGCUGACACUGACGCUGAGGCGCGAAAGCUAGGGUAGCAAACGGGG
rnacentral:rRNA from 1 species